rnacentral:lncRNA from 1 species
CGCAGAAGUGCCUGACUGAAGUCUGGAAACGAAAGAGAGGCUAUAAAAUGCCUACCCAAGAGUUAGAAAUUCCUCUCCCACCAGAAACAGCAAGCAGGGCUUCCCCAACCUACACUGGGAGGACUGUUUCUCCACAGUGGUGACUUGCAAGGGACAAAACCUAAGAGAGAGAGAGAGAGAGAGAGAGAGAGAGAGAGAGAGACUGCUCUCCUAGAGGCUGUAAAAGCAGACCAGAGUUGAAAUCAUCUCAGUUUUGUGCUUGCCUCAGGCAUAGUUCAGAGUCCCCACUUCUUCACCUAUAAACAGAAAGUAGUGUCACCUGACUUCCAGAUGCUCAUUCAGCAAGAAGACCCGAAGGAGGACAUGACACGUGGCUAGUAAUCACUGAAUGCUUCUUAAGUUCCCUUCCUCCUCAGCCCUUAGCCUGGAUUUUUAAUUUUAACUUUAAUCUCAUAUAUAUGUAGCCUUGGCUGCCCUGGAACUUGCUCUGUAGACCAGGCUGGCCUUGAACUCAGAGAUCUGCAGAUCUGCCUGCCUUGGCCUUCCGAGUGCUGGGAUUAAAGUUAUGUGCCCCACUGCCUGGCAGUUUUUUAUAUAUUUAAGCUUUAAGCCUCUGAGCCAAUAGCCACACUUUCAGACCUCAGUGUUCCUGACUGUAAAAUGGGAAAUAGAAGUAGUAUUGCCUAGGCUGAAUGGCGACUGUGCUUGGGCAAUACAGCAUAUAGAACAAUGCAGGGCGGAUGGUCUUGAAUCUGCUGGAAGGUCUGCAGCAGGUCAGCGCUGUCUGUCGAGAAGGAUCUUGCUUCUGCCCAGUCAGUUUACAGGAAGUGAGUUCCUUUGAGAGGCAUCCAGAACUGGAGAGUUGGGAGCCUCAGAACAGGACCAGUCCACCUGUAGAGCUUCAGGAGCAGCUUCCAAGCUUCUCACAGGGGCAGGGCAACUCUGAAGUCUCCAGUGAGGGGGUGCCCAGCUCCAUGACCACCCCAGAUCCCAUCUCCUCAAAGUGCCUGCUCCUUCUCGGUCCCAUAGAAGAGGAGGACGGUGUCCUCACCCAUGCAGACGUCCCUCCGUCCAGGCAUGUCCAGUAGCAGCACUUUGCACGUUGUUGACUCCAAAUGAAUAUUAAACACAGAACCUCACCGAGGCCAGCCCUGCGGGGCAGGCAAUGAACCUACCCUCUUCAUGCCUGUUCAUUAUUAUAAUUAAUAUUGAGUUGGGGUUGGUGGUAACCUCGGCCUUGCUAGGUGUUUGGGCUGUCUCAGAAGCUUAUCCAGAUCAAUGACAGACAGCUUCGAAUUGAUAAACUCCCCGCCACCCAGACGAAUCAAUCGCAACACUGCCGUCACAACAAGCCCAAGAAAUCAAUCUGAUUUCAAGCGAGGUGGUAAUUUCUGCACAUGGCUUUGAAAAUAAGGGCAUAGAGCUUCCCUCCUCAGUGGCCUGUGGUGUUACCCUUUUCCUGUCUGGGUGUGCAGUCAGCAAAGAGGGAUCCAUGGCCGCUCCUUAGCAGUCGCAGCACACGCUCCUGUUUCUUGCUUUUGUCACCUGACAGUAUAUCUCGGAGACGACUGGGAAUCAGUACAUAAAGAGUGCCUUACUCAGGUGUCUUUUUAUGGUCACAGGCUUCUCAGGGUUACAGAAGUAAUCACAGCUGGUUUGAUUAGCUUCAGAUGUUGCCAUUUACAACAUCUCAGUCCAGAGAGGGCUGGAAACCUCCCCAAGGUCACGCAGCAAGGACUAGAGCUUCUCUCCCUAGCAAGUCCCAACUCCUGCCUCCCUACCACGACCCCCCUACCUCCCCGCCACCCCAGCGCUGCCCAGGUGACCAGAAGGGAGGAAGGGAAGAGGGGGCGUCUCUAAUUGAAAUGCAUUGCGGGCUCAGGACCGGCACCUGGCGGGAUGCUCUGCAGGAGAGCGGCGCGGUGCGGAGGGGGCUGCGGCCUGGCGCCCACGUGGGAGCGAGAGAGACCGGGCUGCUUCCCCGCAAUCCGUUGCCGCGUGCUUCCCGGUAAUGAGCUCCCAGGGCCCGAGGUGAGCUUCCCCCGGCUGCUCACACGGCAGCCGCGUGGCACCAAAGAACACCGGUACUUUUUUUCUUCCCUGCCUGACAGCUCAUUAGAAGAAUUAAUUUACUCCAGCGUUUGCAGUUUAAAGGACAUUAUUUACUGGUUAAUUGUUGUUAUUACAAAAUGUUAAAUAUCAUUAUUUAUUUCCCAAGUCCUGACAGCUUCUCUGACAAGAAUUUAUGGGUGAUUGCCGUGUCACCACUGGUGGGUGUCCUGCACAGGGGCAAUGUGAGGUAUGGGAGUGGCCUUCAGGUCCUGGUGUCUUGUCAGGGAAGACUGCGCAGAGGGCCUGCAUACCAUACUGGCCCAUUGUCCCCUCUGCACCCUAAUUUCUGCCCAAUGAGGAGUGGAGGGUGGAGGAAAUCUGCUAUCAGGACACUGGUGUUUCCCUAAAUCUUCAGUUUUGGGGGUCAGGGUGGCACUUGCCAGAAGACCAGCCGCCAAGAUUUUGUGUCCUUCCAUGUAAAAGGCUGUUUAUUCCCAGGGCUCAGAAUGCUUCCAAACCAUGCAGAAAGGCCCGUGUUUUAGCUCCAACCUAACAACAACAACAACAAAAUGGGCUUGGUGGAUCACAUUUUGGUGGAUCAGGACCUUGGAGGUGGGAGCCAAGGGGGAUCAAGAUCAUCCUCUGGCUAAACAACAGAGUGUGAGGCCAGCCUGGGAUAUAGGAGGAACCUGUCUCAACAAAACAAAACAACAACAAAAACGAUCAAAGGUUAAUUCUCCAAAUGGGAAACCUUUGUUUCUGUCCCAGCUGAGCUGAUCGUGGUCUGAGAACAUGAAGAUCAGAAGAUGCUGGUGUCCGGGAACUGAGGACCUGCUAUCAAUCUGAGUUUGACCUGUUCAGGAGACUUCACAUAAAAGCUAAGAUUUAUGGCUUCUCUUGAAAAAUCAGAGACUCUUGACACACUUGACCCAUGGUCAAUUGGCAGUGACCUUUGGGUCACCGAAGGGCAAAGCCAUUCAAGGAAUGUGCUGGCUCUUUCCAGCGGCCGCCUGCCCCACCUGCACUGUUUCCUGGGCUCUGGGCACAUUUGAGUUUCCAAUCUGACCUUCCGUAAUGACCAUGGAGAGAUGAAGAAACAGAUUUCAAAAGCCACGGCCACAGCCUGGUCCACCCUCUCACCCUACCACACCGCCUCUUUCAAAUCUGUCUGCUUCCACCUCUCCUGGGUCAGCAUGGAGUGGGCUCUGGCAGCCCAGGAGCCAGGAGCAAGAGGCGGCCAGUGAGAAUGACAAAGAUCAUGGCUAUACAAAUGGCAUUCGUGUAUUCAUGCAGUAAAUUGUUCUGGAGGAUCUACGUGGUAUAAAAGGACGCAGGCAUACACUGUUCCAUAAAGGAACCCAGCCUGGGGAAGCUAUGUGUCACUCAGGAACGCGGUUACAAUUCGGGAAGAUGGAGAGGUUUAGGAAGAUGUGACUGGCAGGUGUAUGUGGGGAGGGAAGGUUUCCAGGGGAGAGAAUGAAUACUUCACCCAGCUGGUGGACUGCCCGUGUCCUCACGCAGACGCUCAUGUCUUACUUAAUUCUCUCAACAGAGCUGAUUGAAAAUAGCUGUCAGGAUCCAGGCAUAGCGGUGCAAGCCUCUGCCAUCGCCUGGGAGGUGGAGGCAGGAGAGGCAAGAAUUUCAAGGCUAGCCUUGGCUACAAGACACUCUGUUUCAUAACAACAAACGAACAAGGCCACAAAGAAAACCCAACAGCUAAAAAUAACUGCCAGCAGCCAAGCAGAGUAGUACAAGUCCACAUGCUGAUCUUGAGUUCAAGUCCACCCAGAGCUACAUAAUGAGACCCUAAGUCACUAUAACUGUCAAGUGGGACAUAAAGUAUCUGCUGUCAGUUAAUAAGAUGGUGACUCUACAGGCCCAAGGACCAACCUGCUGUGAGAAUCCCUGUCUCCCCCCUAAUUAGAUGCUAUAGGUCAUGCCAGCCUGGGGACUCUGUGGUCCAACAAGGCUAUCCCAGUAGUAUAGCCGAGAAAGGCAGCCCAUCACCAUCAUCUGUAUCUUACAACCUGUGUACAGGGCAGGGCUGAAUCCUCUCAUUUCACCAAUCAGGGACCAAAGGUGCAGAGGCUCUGGACAGAGCGGGCACUGCUGCCUGAGGCUGAGGCCUAGCACUGAGGAAACUUGGAGCUGAGAUCUUACAGGCUGACUUCAAACAAAGGCCCUUUGGACAAGGGCCUUUGGUCUCAGCCUUUCCUCCCAGGGACCUUGACAGCAGCAGGUAGCCUUGAGGAAUAUACUGGAAAACCAAAGAAGAUGGAAAGUCCUUUGAAAGCGAAUGGAAAUGGGCUCAGGGAAGCCCUUCCCAAGGCUGGGCUGCAAAUUAGCAUAAAGUUAUUUCCAGACCGCAGUCUGGCUUAUUUUAGACCCUUCCUCAUUUCCUCCAGGGCAGAAGAAGCCUCAAUCCCUUGCCUGGUGAGAAAGAGACCGUCACUAUGGGAGUGAAUCGGGAGCAGAUCGGAAACUGUAGCCGCUGCGUAGAUUUUUACACUGUCUCAGAGUCUUAGGGCUUGCUGUUCUUCAUAGGUCUUCUCCAGCAGGUCUCUCAUUUUAUUUUAUUGCCAUAUUAAAUUUUUUU